rnacentral:rRNA from 1 species
AGAGUUUGAUCAUGGCUCAGAACGAACGCUGGCGGCAGGCCUAACACAUGCAAGUCGAGCGCCCGCAAGGGAGCGGCAGACGGGUGAGUAACGCGUGGGAACGUGCCCUUUGGUUCGGAAUAUUCCCGGGAAACUGGGAGCAAAACCGGAUAAGCCCUUCGGGGGAAAGUUUACGCCAAAGGAUCGGCCCGCGUUAGAUUAGGUAGUUGGUGGGGUAACGGCCUACCAAGCCUACGAUCUAUAGCUAAUCUGAGAGGAUGAUCAGCCACACUGGGACUGAGACACGGCCCAGACUCCUACGGGAGGCAGCAGUGGGGAAUCUUGGACAAUGGGCGCAAGCCUGAUCCAGCCAUGCCGCGUGGAUGACUGAAGGCCCUAGGGUUGUAAAGUCCUUUCGACGGGGACGAUAAUGACGGUACCCGUAGAAGAAGCCCCGGCUAACUUCGUGCCAGCAGCCGCGGUAAUACGAAGGGGGCUAGCGUUGUUCGGAUUUACUGGGCGUAAAGGGCGCGUAGGCGGAUUUUUAAGUCGGGGGUGAAAUCCCGGAGCUCAACUCCGGAACUGCCUUCGAUACUGGAAGUCUGGAGCACGGUAGAGGUGAGUGGAAUUCCGAGUGUAGAGGUGAAAUUCGUAGAUAUUCGGAGGAACACCAGUGGCGAAGGCGGCUCACUGGACCGUUGCUGACGCUGAGGCGCGAAAGCGUGGGGAGCAAACAGGAUUAGAUACCCCGGUAGU